GAUUGUUUAGUUUAUUUAAAACAAAUGUUUUGAAAACAUUAAAAAAGAAAAAAAAUUCUUAAUAAUCG
rnacentral:tRNA from 3 species